UAGAUCACCACCUCAUGGUAGUAGCAACUGUGGUACACCUCCUUCACACGGUGGUGGUGGAAGCUAUGACCCUACUCCAAGUACACCCUCAACACCAACCUACACCCCAACACCUACUACACCUUCAACACCCACAUACACCCCAACUCCUACUACACCUUCAACACCCACAUACACCCCAACUCCCACUACUCCUGAUAUUCUAACUCCUCCAUCUAUUGAUCCAAACACUCCAACCACUCCAACCUUUCCUGGAAUUUUCACACCACCUUCUUCUUCAUUUCCUCCAUUGUUGCCUGACCCCAACUCACCUACUCCACUCUUCCCUGGUACUUGCACGUAAGUCGCUACCUUCACAUAUUUUUCAUGGUUAAGUUGGUUGUAUUUUUUUGUUCUGAAGUUCUUCAUGUGUUUGAUUAUUAUGAAUUAACAGCAUUUAUGUUAAUCUUUUGUAGUUAC
rnacentral:lncRNA from 1 species